GCUCCCUACACCACAAAAACAGCCAUUCCAACAACUUUAUAAAACACACAGGCACUCGGUCAAUACAGGGGCAGAGGACUUAGAUUCAUGGAACUACACAGGUAGAUCAUUCACCAGGCGUUGCAACUUGAGAGGCAGGUAAGUAUGAGGAUUCUGUGUUAUGCACUAUAGCCCGUUACCAUAUAUGUGAUUGAAUAUUAUCUGCUGUUGGCUUGUGUGGAUGUAUGUAUGUGUUAUGCAACAUAGCUGACUUGAAACAUUGUUAACAGUUUCAGGGCCAUGGGCCUUUCUCAUGAGGGAAAAAUACAGAAUAACAUUAAGACAGGACCUGUGCAAUGAGUUGGGGGGGCACAUUCAGAACGUAGUGUUGCGAGAACAGAUAACAGGAGCCAGGUGCGAGAUAACGGUAUCGAGCAUGAGUGCAUAGAUACUCUACACAGCAACAGUUACAUCUCUCAACUGGAGCGCCCGGGGGCCGGGACCAGCUAGGUGCCAACAAUCAACGAUAGGCUGGAUUCGAAUUGACGCAACCCUGACAGAAGUGAGCAGCGCUAUAGGUGCAGAUCAACUCAGCUUACACCUGUACUACCCAAAGUAGGCCCUUGUCAUGUCCAACUGAAAGAGAGAGCAGUGGUGAAAAUGGAGACCCUCACCUCGGCAGCAGUUGGAACUUGGCUUCGCUGCUGUAACAGAAGUCACUCAGUUCGGUGAAGGCAGAGGGCACAGGCUGUCUGGAGAGUGUCUGCAGGGUGGAAAUACACGACGAGAGCCUCUGGACCACUGAGAGAAACUCUUGGACAAAGGCAUCAAUCUCCUGCAUAAACAACAGUCCAAGAAGAGACGUUAGAGGGAAAAAUCAGAGGUGGAUUAUAAAGUAGGUAACAAAAAAAAAUGUAUGUCAGUCCUGUUGCAUCAGAAAAGCAUUAUUCAUAUACUUGUCUAAGUUGUACAACCACAAACCAAUUACGCAAAAUACAACCCAAAUAUACAGCCAUAACCUGCUAAAAAUAUACAGAUUGUUUUGCCAAGAAUGUGCAAUAUAGCGUCCCAAAACAGACUACCCUCAAAGUACUAAUGAAUACUGUCAACAUGGAUGAAUGCCCAGUCGAACGAGUGAAUAUGACCAAAUGGUGAGAGGGGGCUGCCUUUCACUUGGUAAUGAGGUCAACUGAUUGCAGUCUGCAAUUCUGCAAGCUUCACCAAGGUAACAAACAAUGGCUCUGGGGCUGCAUCACUGAAACGCAUGAAUGGAUUAAUGAAUGAAAGAUCUCCAUACAGGAUGACAGUUGAAUAACUGGCCUUUUCUCAAUUGGAUUUGCUCAACUCCUGUCUCCUCUCCUCAGUCCUCUCUCAGCUCCUUUUGAAAAAGGUAAAUCGAGAAGAGGAAACAUGGACGAAAAUGCGCUUGUAUGAAAUGAGACUCCUUCACUCGCACACAAAACAGAAGAAGAUUGAAAGGGGGUGUGGCAGACUUCAAAACUCUUCCACAAGGACCCACAUGACUAUACUGAUGAAAGGUGGCUAGAGGGGAGGACUCGUCCGUUCACCUACUAACGAAUUGGCAUCUCUUCGACCACUCGGUUUCCGACUCACAGAGAGAGGACAGAGAGAGGGUGGAGGGCAGACUUUUUCCCCAAAUGAGAAAAGGCCACUGACUGCGUACUCCUCUCUCCAGAUAGAUUCAGUUAAUCUACCAUGGAACACCUACCAUCACAGAUUGUUCUGAAAUAGUUUCUAUAGUUAGAAACAGAACAUUAGCAUUCAUCCAACAUGAUUUUGUUAAUUUAAUCUCAGAAAUGAAGCUACUUGAUUGUGCCCAUAUUGGACAUUUUAAUGUAUAGGGUUCACAUAGUCAUGGUCAUGAGGUGUAUGUGGACACCUGCUCGAAAAUAUCAUUCUAAAAUCAUGGGCAUUAAUAUGAAAUUGGUCCUCCCUUUGCUGCUAUAACAGCCUCCAUGCUUCUGGGAAGGCUUUCCACUAGAUGUUGGAACAUUGCUGCAGGGACUUGCUUCCAUUCAGCCACAAGAGUAUUAGUGAGAUCAGGCGCGGCUGUUGGGCGAUUAGGCCUGGCUCGCAGUUGGCGUUCCGAUUCAUCCCAAAGGUGUUAUUAUGGGAUUGAGGUCAGGGCUCUGUGCAGGCCAGUCAAGUUCUUCCACACCGAUCUCGACAAACCAUUUCUGUAUGGACCUCGCCUUUCCGCACAGGGGCAUUGUCAUGCUGUAAAAUGAAAGGGCCUUCCCUAAACUGUUGCCACAAAGUUGGAAGCACAGCAUCGUCUAGAAUGACUUGUAUGCAGUAGCGUUAAGAUUUCCCUUCUGGAACUAAGGGGCCUAGCUCAAACCAUGAAAAAGUGUUGCAACAGAGGACAGACGAUUUUUACGCACUUCAGCACUCGGCGGUCCCGUUCUGAGAGCUUGUGUGGCCAAACCACUUCCCGGCUGAGCAGUUAUUGCUCCAAGAUGUUUCCACUUCACAAUGACAGCACUUACAUUUAAUUGGGGAAGCUCUAGCAGGGUAGAAAUUUGACGAACUGACUUGGAAAGAUAGCAUCCUAUGACAGUGCCACGAUGACAGUCACUGAGCUCUUCAGUAAGGCCAUUCUACAGCCAAUGUUUGUCUAUGGAGAUUGCAUUGCUGUGUGCUCGAUUUUAUUCACCUGUCAGCAACAGGUGUGGCUGAUAGCCAAAUCCCCUAAUUUGAAGGGGUGUCCACAUACUUUUGUAUAUAUGGUGUAUUCAAUAAAUAUUAUGUCUGUCAAUGUUAACGCUUUACA